CCUACGGGAGGCAGCAGUGGGGAAUAUUGCGCAAUGGGCGAAAGCCUGACGCAGCGACGCCGCGUGAGGGAUGAAGGUCUUCGGAUCGUAAACCUCUGUCAGCAGGGAAGAACGGUCACUGUGCUAAUCAGCAGUGAAUUGACGGUACCUGCAAAGGAAGCACCGGCUAACUCCGUGCCAGCAGCCGCGGUAAUACGGAGGGUGCGAGGGUUAAUCGGAAUUACUGGGCGUAAGGCGCUCGUAGGCGGUAUGUCAAGUCAAGGGUGAAAUCCCCGCGCUCAACGUGGGAACUGCCUUUGAAACGGGCAAACUGGAGUGUGUGAGAGGAUAGUGGAAGUCCGGGUGUAGGAGUGAAAGCCGUAGAUAUCUGGAGGAACAUCAGUGGCGAAGGCGACUAUCUGGCACAUAACUGACGCUGAGGAGCGAAAGCGUGGGUAGCAAACAGGAUUAGAUACCCGGUAGUC
rnacentral:rRNA from 1 species